AUUGCCUGAUUCCCCUUCCGAUAUGCCGGUGACGUAUUCUGGGUCAAAAGACGUGGCACACAAACGAAAAUGGGUGGUUCGAACGUCUUGCUCCAUUACCUUCGUAAACGCAAGUUACGGCCACCACGCAGGCGGGUCAUGCUCUGUGGUCUUACCGUCCUUUUGUACGUUAACUUCGUUCAAAAUAUUAACUUAUAUUAAAUAAUCGAAUAACGAUGAAAUAAAAUAUUCUGAGUACCUAUUA